CUGCGCAAUGUGCGCAGUGUGUGUAGACUUGUGUCAACAGUUGAAGAGGGUUGCUGCGCCAUGUGUAGGAAAUACUAUCGACAGUAUCUACUAGCUUGCCAUGGGUGGCAUACAAUGUAGCUUAAUGUCCAUAUAAGGCGGUUCGAAUGGUACACAUGACCUAGAAAGUGUACAUAGAGGACAACAGAAUAGCGAAAGACGCCUACACAAACGAUGUGUCCCUGUAAAACGUAAAUAAUGAUGAUGUAAACAGAGCGUGUACGUAUAGCUUGAUCAUGUGGAGGUUAUCUCUGAGUGCAGGCUACCGAGGCUUUGGGUGCAGGAUUGUUGGACCAAAGGGACUUUGGGGCUCCCGUGUGGUGCAUACAUGCAGCGCUCCAGCCAUACCUGCAGGCCGGAUCACAGCACUUCAGGCAGUGGAUUUGUGGAAGAAUCACUUCACGGAGAGAGGCGUGAUGGAGCCCGACCACUCCAGCCUCUACAUUAUGGCUUACCUGCUCGGUGCUAAAACUAUAGAAAGUCUUGAGCAGGAGAAGUUAUCAGAGUUUCUAAGCCCAGAAAAAACCGAGCAGAUGUGGAAGCUCUGCUCUAGACGCCUAUCCAGAAUGCCUGUGCAGUAUGUGAUUGAGGAGUGGGACUUCAGAGAUCUGACACUGAAGAUGAGACCUCCUGUGUUCAUACCAAGACCUGAAACUGAGGAGUUGGUUGAACUCAUGCUCAAUGAUCUGGAGAUGAAGCCCGGCACUGGAAUUGGUGCAGACUCCCAGCAUACAUGCUUGGAAGUGGGAUGUGGCUCUGGUGCCAUUUCUCUGAGUCUGCUGAAGAGUCUGCCUCAGCUUAAAGUUACUGCUCUGGAUCAAAGCCAGGAUGCGGUGGAUUUAACAAGAGCGAAUGCGUUAAUGUAAGCACACGUUGGGGCUUCAGGACAGAUUACAGAUUCAUUGUUUAGAUGUAAUGAAAGAUGCAGAAACUGUGUUAAGCCUUUGUCGCCAUGUCUCAACUUUGGUCAGUAACCCCCCGUACCUGUUCUCAGAGGAUAUGACCACGUUGGAACCUGAAAUAUUUCUGUUUGAAGACCAUGCUGCUUUAGAUGGAGGUAAAGACGGCCUGAAAGUAAUCAAACAGAUUUUGACUCUGGCUCCUCAGAUUCUAUCAAAUCAUGGACGUGUUUACUUGGAGGUGGAUCCCAGACACCCCCCGCUCAUUCAACGGUGGGUGGAGGUGAAUGUGGAAGAGAUGCGUUAUGUGGAGACUCGGCACGACAUCACCGGCAGGCCACGAUUUUGCAUCCUUCGGAAAGAGAAGUCAAACAAGUACCACAAGCUGGAUCUGGAUUGAGAAACUGAGAUCCUAUUACACUGGCUUUAGCCCAGGUCGCCACAGCCUCAGCUCCCCUACCCCCGCUGAGCCGCCGAGCACGGGCACGAGCACGUGCACGUGCCUGCACCAAUUUCAUUACUCAAAAUUCACCACUUGCAGAGGCUCAAAACAUUUUCAUGUCUCUGUUGCACUUUUAAUCUGGUAACAUGUCUGAUCACAUCCUGCGCCACGAUUAAAAAAAAGUAAAAAACUGUGUGCGAGGUGGCACAAAAGCAGACUGAAAGCUGAAGGUAAUUACUGAGGCUUUUCUUAGAACCCUCCCUCUUAGAAUCUCACCCUCCUCCCAGGAAGCAUUCAGCAGUUCUGUGAAUCCGCUGAUGAACGGUCCUCCCCUUCGCUCGUCCACUCGCUGAGUCAGAUGCAGGCUGUACACAUUGUUGAGCAAAAACACACACACGCACACACGCACACAUGCACAUACACACAGACACAAUGUGGCCUUUACUUCCUCACACAAUCCGCAUCUCUUACACACUUAAAGCUCAAAGUCUUUGUGUUUCAAAGGUGAUUUGAAAGCAGAACAUAUUUCGUAACAAGUGUCACAAGAGCAAGUCAUCAUGUGCCAUUAAAUAAAGAUGAUGAUGAUGGACAGUACUUCUCUUUAUCCUGUGAGUAAAACUGCCAGUUGUAAAGAGAAAAUGAUUUUAAGGACAGCAAGUUGGACUCCAAUCGGUUAUUUUAAUAGAAAAAUGUACACAUGUAAAAGGUAGAAAAAAUGUUUUACUGAGAAAAAUAAAACUGCGUAAAAGAUGUCUCAAUGGAAUCAGUGUACUUAACAGUAUGCACUUCCAGAACUGAUUAUGGUAAUACAGAUAUGGACAAUUUCCACAUCCAUCAUGACAUAAAGAUUACAGUACUGAGAUUUGCUCACAA